UUCAAUUCCCACAAUUAACUGUUUGCUGUUCUAAUCAUAUCAAUUCCCUCUCCAGGUUUGUAACCUUGAUGUUAUCCUUGACUUUUCUCUCCCACACCCCACAUGUCAAAUUAUUUGCUAGACUGAUUCAUGUAUUAAGACAUCAAAAGACUUUCUAUGUGACUUUAAUUGUGAACAUAUUGGGAAGGUCAGAUGGUAUUGGACAUUUCCAGUGAUGCAACAUCCAAGGAACCAAAACCAGGGUUGGAGACGUGUGGAAGAAGUUUAUUUUGAAAUCUGAAUACCCAGACUUUGGCCUUUUGGUUUACACGGUAAUGUUAUGGGUCCUUACUUUGCCUUUUGUGCUGUGGUGGAUGGUAUUCAAUAUAAAACUGGACUGGGACAAAAUAAAAAAGAGUCUAGAUCCAAUGUGGCCAAGCUCGCUCUUGAUGAGCUUUUGCAGUUGGAUGAUCCUGAGCCAAGGAAUGUAGAAGCCUCAGCUCUCUAGGCUUGCCCAUUUUGGCCUCAAGCCCCUAAUGAACCUAGAUAGAGCUUCCAAAAUGACUAUGUCCUUCCUGUAUGAUUCCCUAUGAUGGCCUAUAUUGAGCUGAUUCUCCAAAAUGGUGAUGUCAUGAGCUAUGAGGAACAACACCAGAGAGUUAGAAAUUGUGGAGAAGCAACCAGAAAGCUUUGGCUGUCGGAUCACCAAAAACCAUGAAAAAAGCCUUAGCUGCAAAGUAGGCUCAGCUGUUGUCCCACCAAAGAUUUGUUGUAAUAAAUGAACAUACUCUUGUAUUACUAUUUUUCAUGUGUAUGUAGAUGUUAUGAUUAAUA